UUUUCAGAACGGAAACUUUAAUUCAGGAAAAAAGAAGGUGGCAAGGAGUGAAACUCAAAUAAGAUACCAUGUGUGCCUAUGAGGGAAUAUGAACAACAUUUUCAGGAAAGUAAGAACAAAGUGAAGCUACAGUGAAAUGAGUAGGGACAGCAGGGUGUAGAAGUACAGGAGGUGCUCACUAACAGCCUCAUCGGGCCCCGAGGGACAGGGUCACUCAGUCACUCAAACCACUUGUUUGAGGUACAACAAAGGACUGCAAAUAUUAUAAGCUGCUUGAUGUAUAGAACUGGAGCUUCAUAAUCAUUCUGAAUUCCAGAGCCUUAUAAUACAAAAUGCUAGCUAAGUACUGUAAAAUGAUGUGAGUGUCCUGUAUUUGGCAAUCAGCAGCAAGAGGUAGGUGUAUUACUUGCUACUGGCUGCUGAAACAGUAUACUUUCUAUAAACUUAGAUAUAUAAAACAGCGCAGGUUUACUGUCAUACAGUUUGGAGGUCACAAAUCUGAAGUCAGCUCAUUUUGUUAAACGCAAUAUCAUGUUAUUUUUUGGAUGUUAUUUUCAGGGGAAACCCAUCCAUGUUUUAGAGGCUACCACAUCCCUUAGUCCAUAGCCCCUUCCACUCUGAAAGCCAGAGGAGACUGAUCAUAUUUUUUCUUACAAAGGAUCACAGGCAUUGGCUUUUGCCCUCUUCCUCAUUCAAAGAACUCUUUUGAGAACACUUGUGGAUAGAAUUGGUUUGUGUGAUAUGAACUGCUUUAGAAGACUAGUAGUGGGAGAGCGGCUCUUGUGUGUUCUAUUUAGUAUAUACUCUCUCAUAAAACCCAGAGUGUUUUCUCUUUCCUAAAUGCUGUCAGCUCUUUAGCAACCUAACAUUUUUUUUUUAUGGUUUUAGAGCUUUAUUGUAGAAAGGCAGGGGGAAAGAGACAAGGUAGAGAAAAGGAGGGCUAGAGCGUAAGAAAGAUGAGAGCUUAGAGUCCUUUUAUCUGUAACUUAUAUUCCCCCUUGCCAGGAAUCAUCCAUAGUUCCAGCUUGAGGGGAUUGAAGUGAGGGAAACUCUAGUGGGGAGGACAUUUUUUCCCUGCUAAGAAUGGAAUUUGAAGUAUUGUAUAUAAUUCUUGGGAAUGUUACUGGUCCCCAUCUCCACCCCUUCUGGUGGCAUAGAAAGCACAUGUCCAGGCAGCAAAUGGAAGGAACAUACUUUGUUUGUUUUUUCUCAGACAGUGAUUUAACUCAUGGCAUGUUUUUGAAUGAUGAGCCAUGGUCUGAUCUCUGCUUUAGGAAGAGUUGUAUAUUCUUGCAGGAGAAAUUAUCAGGUUGACCUCAAUUUCUUGCCACUGUGCAGAGACUAGAGAACCAUGGAAGUGACAGUCUGUGUAGAUACAUGAAGUGUUAAGAAUUCUAUGUGGUUAUAGUCAUAGGACUUAAUAUCUGGUGGGUAGAAUUCUGUGGGUGGUGGGUGGAGGAAGAGAGUCCAAGAGGUCAGUGUUUGGAACCUGGAGGCAAAGGGCACCAGUUGGUAAGUCAGAAGACUGAAGAGAACUUAAGGUUGGAGUAAGUAUACCUCUGAAAUAAGAAGUUCUGGAUACCCAAGUAAAGCUGCAAAUGAAGGCUGCUUUAGUCACUGUUCUGUUGCCAUGAAGAAACACCAUGACCAUGGCAACUCUUAUAAAAAGAAAGAAUUUAAUUUACUUUCAGAGGUUUAGUCCUUUAUCAUCAUGGCAGGGUGGUUGGUGGCAUGCAGGCAGACAUGAUGCUGGACAAGUAGCUGAGAUUUCUAAAUCCAGAUAGGAAGCCGGAAGAGGGAGCAUGGGCUUUUGAAACUUCCAAGCUAGCACACUUUCUCCAACAAAGGUCACACCUACUCCAAUAAGGCUAUAUGACUCCCUAAUUCUUCUCAAGUAGUUCCACAAUGACUAAGCAUUUAAAUAUAUGAACCUACAGGGACCAUUCUUACUCAAACCACCACAAAGCCCAUGGAGGAAAUAGGAGCUUCAAAAAAAGAUUUAGUGUUACCACCAUAACAGUUAGGGUUAAGACAAUGGUAGUGAAAUGAUGAUGGUAGUGAAAAGAGGGCCAAGGACCUCACCUUCAGUUUAGAAAUAUGGGAGAUGAAGAAGUAAUCCUAAAGCAAUAUGACAACAAUUUAAAACAAUAUAAAACAAUUGCAUUGUUCCCAUACUGACUUGUUUUAUACAUGGUGACUGGGCCAAACCCCAGUGUAGUCAGAGGUUGCUUGGAAUGGGGAGUCCACGUGUAAGUCUCCAAGGGCUCUGUCUUUGAAUGCAGUGGCUAUUACAUAAGGCACAAAUGGAGGCGGUUCUGAAACAGCAAUGCCAGAUGGUUCUGGGAAGUAGGCAGGUCGAGGCUCACUGUUGCAUCUGUAGAGUUUAUUGAGGUUAUUGUUUUAACACAACAGAUGUAGAAAGCUCCUUUGGUGGUUCACAUGGUUCUAAUCUGGGGCCUCUUUUUCUCAUCAAUGUUGUCAUAUUUAAGAAGUCCUAGUGUCUGUGUAGAGACAUAUGCUCAGGACUUGACUUUUCCUAGUUGGUUCAGCAAAAACCUUCACCAUCUUGGUUAUUGACCAAGUAAACAUAUGGUGACAAUGUGAUCCAUUAUCCAAAUAUAGACAGUUUUGAAAUAGAAUCACUUAAUAAUGAUUCUUCUGUCAUUAAUGUCAACUUCUGAAAUGGCAAGGCUUUGUGAUAUUUUUAUAGUUUCUUACAACUGUAAUAUUUUGAUCAGUGUCUGGUAUGAUAAAAUAUUGUUUCUCUAAUAAGCUGACUUAUUUGUGCCUCAGAGGCUAAGCUCUCAAGAGUGUUAAAAAAAAAGGUGGUGUUUACUUCUCAGAGUUACUACCCUUCCAACUUGCAGAAUACUGAGUCCAUGUGUUUCUACACUAAACUUACUUGCUAAAAUUUAAGUAGACUCCAUAUAUACCAAAUGACUACUCCUUAUGUGCAGGACUUGAGAUAAUAGGGGGAGUCCAAACAUAUCCUACUGGGACUUGAGAUAGCUCAGUGGUCAAGAACAUUUCUUGUUCUUCCAGAGGACUCAGGUUCACACCAUCCAUAACCGCAGUUCCAAGGCAUCUGACACCCUGUGCUAACCCCCGUGUGUACUAGGCAUGCAUGUGGUGUACAUACACAUGCAUACAGGCAAAACACUCAUAUGUGCUAAAUAAAACCUAAAACCAAACAAAUUAAAGAGACAGAAAGACAGAGAUGGAAGCUUGCUUUAUUUUUAGCCAGGAAAGCAGUAGAGAAGACAUUUGCUGUCAAGAAAACAUUGCCUUUGCUGUAUUCCUUUUGUCAAAGGAACCUAAGUCACUGGGUUUUUGUCUGAGAGAACGGGAUUCAAUUAGUCACUCUGUUCACACAGAUAAGAGGAAGAGCAGACACAGGGAAGAGCCUAUUCAGGCAGUUGGCUCUUGUAUAACCAGAACAUACUGCAAUUCAAGUUUGAGGCCUCUGAUUCUCAUAUUGUAAUGAUUGUGUUUCUAGACUGAAAUGUUAGGGUUUUUCCUUCUGAAAUUCCCAACCCAAAUUCAUGACAAUGUUUUAAUGCUAGAUGUUUCAAAAUUAUUUCUUAAGGAAUCUGGACAAAUUUUAAUGAACCCACCAGAUAUUGUUAACAGUCUUAUGUAUAUAGACUCAUGAAUGUGACUAUUUUGUAAAUAGUCAGAUCUUUGUGUAAUAAAUGGAAAUAUUAUUUAAACAUCGCCAUAGAAUACAGUUUCAUUGUGUAGUAUGGUCUUGCUCUUUAGGUAUGCUUUUCUGAAGCAUUAGAUUAUGAAAGCCAAGCUUUGGGUUUUACUGUAUAGGUAAUCCACACAAUGUUUUGAUACC
rnacentral:lncRNA from 1 species